rnacentral:rRNA from 1 species
AUCAACUUUCGAUGGUAGGAUAGAGGCCUACCAUGGUGGUAACGGGUAACGGGGUGUUAGGGCACGACACCGGAGAGGGAGCCUGAGAAACGGCUACCACAUCCAAGGAUGGCAGCAGGCGCGCAAAUUACCCAAUCCCGACACGGGGAGGUAGUGACAAUAAAUAACAAUACGGGGUCCUUUCGGGUUUCGUAAUUGGAAUGAGUACAAUUUAAAUCUCUUAACGAGGAACAAUUGGAGGGCAAGUCUGGUGCCAGCAGCCGCGGUAAUUCCAGCUCCAAUAGCGUAUAUUAAAGUUGUUGCAGUUAAAAAGCUCGCAGUUGAAUUUCGGGGUUAGUAGAUUGGUCGUGCCACUGGUAUGUACUGGUCUUACUGAUUCCUCCUUCCUGAUGAACCGUAAUGCCAUUAAUUUGGUGUUGCGGGGAGACUGGACUGUUACUUUGAAAAAAUUAGAGUGUUUAAAGCAGGCUAACGCUUGAAUACAUUAGCAUGGAAUAAUGAAAUAGGACGUUCGAUCCUAUUUUGUUGGUUUCCAGGAUUGACGUAAUGAUUAAUAGGGAUAGUUGGGGGCAUUAGUAUUCAAUUGUCAGAGGUGAAAUUCUUGGAUUUAUUGAAGACUGACUACUGCGAUAGCAUUUGCCAAGGAUGUUUUCAUUAAUCAAGAACGAAAGUUAGGGGAUCGAAGACGAUCAGAUACCGUCGUAGUCUUAACCAUAAACUAUGCCGACUAGGGAUCGGAUGAUGUUAAUUUUUUAAUGACUCAUUCGGCGCCUUACGGGAAACCAAAGUGUUUGGGUUC